GCUCAAAUGGCUCAGUGGUUAGAGCUUAGGUUUCGUAUCCGAAAGGUCGCGGGAUCGAAUCCCUUUGGGGCU
rnacentral:tRNA from 1 species